GGGCAGGUAAUCCAGGGGCAUGUAAUUCAGGGGCAGGUAAUCUAGAUGCAGGUAUUUCAGGGGCAUGUCAUCCACGGGCAGGUAAUUCAGGGGCUGGUAAUUUAGGGAUAG